rnacentral:lncRNA from 1 species
CCAUCUCACAUCCAUUAGAAAAUCUCACACCUUCUGAUGAAUUAUCAUACCUAUCUGAAAGUUUUUGACACAUGGAAAUCAUCAAAAAAAAAUCAAAGAGAUGCUUCAUGCAGAAGGACUCUUCGAAAUAUUUUCUCGAUAAUUCUCCGAUGAGUCGCACAGCUUCCCAUGGCAUAAUUUUUUUCCAUCACCCAUCAAUAUAAUUUGGU